CGGCCCUUACGCCUGGGGCUAGACACGUGCUACAAUGGUCGGUACAGCGGGCAGCAAGCUGGCGACAGCAAGCUAAUCCCUAAAAACCGAUCUCAGUUCGGAUUGGAGUCUGCAAUUCGACUCCAUGAAGCUGGAAUCGCUAGUAAUCGCGGAUCAGCAUGCCGCGGUGAAUACGUUCCCGGGCCUUGUACACACCGCCC
rnacentral:rRNA from 1 species